rnacentral:tRNA from 1 species
GAGGGUGUAGCUCAGUGGGAUAGCGCAUGCUCAGCAUGCACGAGGUCCUGGGUUCUAUCCCCAGUGCCCCCA